AUUGAACGCUGGCGGAAUGCUUUACACAUGCAAGUCGAGCGGCAGCGCGGCCUUCGGGCUGGCGGCGAGCGGCGAACGGGUGAGUAAUGCAUCGGAACAUGCCCAGUCGUGGGGGAUAACACUUCGAAAGAAGUGCUAAUACCGCAUACGUCCUGAGGGGGAAAGCGGGGGAUCGCAAGACCUCGCGCGAUUGGAGUGGCCGAUGUCAGAUUAGCUAGUUGGUGGGGUAAAGGCCUACCAAGGCGACGAUCUGUAGCUGGUCUGAGAGGAUGAUCAGCCACACUGGGACUGAGACACGGCCCAGACUCCUACGGGAGGCAGCAGUGGGGAAUUUUGGACGAUGGGGGCAACCCUGAUCCAGCCAUGCCGCGUGAGUGAAGAAGGCCUUCGGGUUGUAAAGCUCUUUCGGCAGGAACGAAACGGUGGGCUCUAACAUAGUCCGCUAAUGACGGUACCUGAAGAAGAAGCACCGGCUAACUACGUG
rnacentral:rRNA from 1 species